UUCCCCCAAUUUACUUCCCUCGCAUCCACUCUCUCCGCCGUCUUCCACACCACCGAUGCCUUCAACUAAGUCCUCCACGAACGCUCGCAAUGAAAUCUUCCAACGAUGCCGGCCAAUCACUUAUAUACCCACUAUCUCUUCAUCCCCCUUCAGAUUUCUCAUGGCCCUUAUUUCUCACUCUCUUUCCCAAAAUCAUCCUUCAUCGAUGCCAACCACUUGCUGCUACGACAACAUAUACUAGAGAUUCUCUGCAAUGUGCUCAGCCACAGACCAACUCUGAUUCAAAGUAACGAUGUGGUCGACGACCCCUCAACCACUUCUCAUCUGCUGUCUCUAUGUUAGGAAGAUGAUGAGUUUGAGAAGGUCAAGCAAACAAUUGGCAGUGUAAUUCCACGAUAUUAGAUCACAGCCCCUAUCCCACGUGUUAAAAGAUCAUGACUACAAAACUUGAGGAUACAAAAGGCAUAGUAUACAUGUAUUUUGUUUUGUUCAAAAGAGUGUACAAGCUUGGUAAUAGUCUUAGAGUGGAGAAAUAAUGAUUGCAGAACUUGGGUUUACCAAGGGCAAGAAUAUAUGGAGCUUGGCCUCCAGUCUUUCAGUGGAAUUUGGAUAUGUUAUGUGUACUUGAAUGGCUAGUACGCUUGUGUACUUUUGAAUGAGAGAAAUUUGUAUUCAUGUAAUUUUCUAUUGAUCUAUUGAUCUAAAUUUAUUGUUUUU